rnacentral:rRNA from 1 species
UACGAAGGGGGCGAGCGUUGUUCGGAUUUAUUGGGCGUAAAGAGCGUGUAGGCGGCCUGACAGGUCUGCUGUGAAAACUCGAGGCUCAACCUCGAGAUGUCGGCGGAAACCGUCUGGCUAGAGUCCGGAAGAGGAGAGUGGAAUUCCUGGUGUAGCGGUGAAAUGCGCAGAUAUCAGGAAGAACACCUAUGGCGAAGGCAGCUCUCUGGGACGGUACUGACGCUGAGACGCGAAAGCGUGGGGAGCGAACAGG